ACACACACAUACACAUAUACACUUGCUUGCUUGCUUGAUAUCAUCAAGCAAGCAAGCAAGCGUCUAUGUGUAUGUGUGUGG